rnacentral:rRNA from 1 species
AGGGCACCACCAGGUGUGGAGCCUGCGGCUUAAUUUGACUCAACACGGGGAAACUCACCCGGCCCGGACACCGGAAGGAUUGACAGAUUGAUAGCUCUUUCUUGAUUCGGUGGAUGGUGGUGCAUGGCCGUUCUUAGUUGGUGGAGCGAUCUGUCUGGUUAAUUCCGAUAACGAACGAGACUCUAGCCUAUUAAAUAGACGUCGGGUUCUCUGCACUCGACGGUCUUCUUAGAGGGACAAGGUGCUUUUAGCACCGCGAAACAGAGCAAUAACAGGUCUGUGAUGCCCUUAGAUGUCCGGGGCCGCACGCGCGCUACACUGAAGGAAGCAGCGUGUAACAACCUUGUUCUAACGAACUGGGUAACCCGUGGAACUUCCUUCAUGAUUGGGAUAGGGGUUUGCAAUUGUGCCCCUUGAACGAGGAAUUCCCAGUAAACACUAGUCAUCAGCUAGUGCUGAUUACGUCCCUGCCCUUUGUACACACCGCCCGUCGCUACUACCGAUUGAAUGGUUUAGUGA